rnacentral:tRNA from 1 species
CCUUAAUUAGCUUAUAAAAAGCAUUAAACUCUUAAUUUAAACGAAGAUAGUUAGACUCUAUCAUUAAGGA